CCUACGGGAGGCUGCAGUGGGGAAUAUUGGACAAUGGGGGGAACCCUGAUCCAGCCAUGCCGCGUGUGUGAAGAAGGCCCUCGGGUUGUAAAGCACUUUCAGUGAGGAAGAACGCCUGGUGGUUAAUACCCAUCAGGAAAGACAUCACUCACAGAAGAAGCACCGGCUAACUCCGUGCCAGCAGCCGCGGUAAUACGGAGGGUGCGAGCGUUAAUCGGAAUUACUGGGCGUAAAGCGCGCGUAGGUGGCUUGAUAAGCCGGUUGUGAAAGCCCCGGGCUCAACCUGGGAACGGCAUCCGGAACUGUCAAGCUAGAGUGCAGGAGAGGAAGGUAGAAUUCCCGGUGUAGCGGUGAAAUGCGUAGAGAUCGGGAGGAAUACCAGUGGGGAAGGCGGCCUUCUGGACUGACACUGACACUGAGGUGCGAAAGCGUGGGUAGCAAACAGGAUUAGAUACCCUUGUAGUC
rnacentral:rRNA from 1 species